UACGCAUGGUUUAUAUGCACA
rnacentral:piRNA from 1 species